UAUAGUGUGACUCCGCCUCCUGUUUGCCCUCUCUGCUUCUGGGCUGCAGGUGAAAUGUGAUCCGUCAGCUUCCAGUUCCAGCUGCUGCAAGGCCCUCCCCUGCCAUGGUGGACUCUCUUCCUCUGGGACUGUACACCAAAACAAACACUUUUGUUUAUCACCGCAACUGUAAGAUACUAAUACACGGGGCCGAAUGUAUCUUUAGAUUUUUGAGGAACCUCCACACUGAUCUCCAUAGUGGGUAUACUCAUUUGCCCAUCCACUAACACCCCAAAAUGACAGAAAACCGACUGCUGGAAGCUAUGGGACAGACAAGCCUUACCUCCUUGGAAGUUGUUGAACUCAGUUAUUUUGUCAUGAUGCUGAAAGAUGAACAUGGGUACCUUGUAGAAUCUCAGUAGUAGCUUCUGGAUGAAUUUCUCCAUCUACCAACCAUAAGAUUCUGUCUGUCUUGUGCAUGUGAGUUUGUGUGCUUGAACAAGCCAGAAGAGUGUCAAAAGGCCCGGAGCUGAAGGGACAAGUGGUUGUGACCAGCCCAUGGUGGGUAAUCGGGAGCCAAAUCCAGUUCCUGUGGGAAAGCAGUCUGCACACCAAACCUCUGGGCCAUGCUGCCAGUGCCUGCAUGCAAAUGUAUCCCGGAGUGAGAAGCUUGGACUUCAUCUAGAUACCCAGCAGAGAACCCUAGUGGCUUCAUUAGACAGCCAGGAAGGUAAUUGUGGUUUUGUGUUGUUGAAAUUUGCCAUUCACUUCUGGAAUGCACUAUUAAAAAUCAUGAUUAUG
rnacentral:sRNA from 1 species